UCGCAUUUGUGUGCAGAGCCAGUUAACUAUUCCGUUUCAUCUGUCUGGAUCCUCCCCAACUCUGAAAAUAUAUCUAAUCAAAUUUCAUUUGUUUUUUUAUAAAAAUUACAUGGGAGCUGGUUUAUGUAACUGAACAGUUUGAUAACAUUUUUAAAUAUACGUUUUUUUCUCACUAUGUUAUCUCCUUAGGAUAGAAGAUGCAAGUGUUUUAACCUCAGCUUGUUACAGGGGGAAAGAGUCUUUCCUGGAUAUUUCAUUAAAGGCCUGAAGUCCCUGCACCCCAGUAUUGCCAAUCAGGCAGACAUGAACAAUCUGGUCACAUUACUGGAUGAAAUUUAUCACCGGUGUCUGGAAAAGUCCGGCUUCUCUGUGCCGCCUGAGAAUUAUGAGCCUUUCAUUUCACCAAAGAGCCUCCAUAAGAAACUGGAAGACCUGACACAGCAACUCAACACCAUUCUUAAAGCCUAAGUUCUGUAUUUUUUCAACCUGGACUAAUUGACUAAUGGGGACAAUAUUUUUUAAAAACUGGUCAAAUAUUGAACAAGAGUGCUGCAGUCGGCAGCAGUGAAACAGGGCUGGCAAUGCACCCUGUCAAAGUACGUCCACUUGAAGUGAUUGUUUUUGCCGUUCAGAUUGUUAUUUGUGUCUGACAACAUCAAGGAGGAUUAAAGAGUAAGAUCCUUUUUGUUUAACCACAAACGGACACUAUGUCACUCUCAUCAAAGACACCAGACUCUGACAAAAAACAUAAUUAAAAAACCAAAAACAAGUAUUUUAGUGGACAUACUAUGACAGGGUACAUUUGCUCACAAGGAUUACGUUGCAGUCCUGUUUCACUGCUGCCGACUGCAGCGUGCUCGUUCAAUACUGGACCAGUUUUAAAAAAUGUUGUCACCAUCAGUCAAAUAGUCACAAAAACAUGUGAAAACAGGGUCCAGGUUACAAAAUAUCAAACUUACCUUUUAACUUCUUAACUGGAAGACCUGAACCAGCAGCUCAACACCAUUCCUAACUCCUCGCCUCAAUAACCUCAUCAUUUAUGAACUGUAAGCCUAUUUCUUCGUAUUAGAUUUAAUUUUGCCAUGGAAAUCCUCAUUCUUAAUAAGUGAUAUUAAGCAAUGACCCCGAAAUGUGAAUCAUCAGUGUGAUCAAUGUAUUCUACAAAGCAUAUGUGCCUGAUUCAAUGACAGUAUUUUAAAAUAGCUGGUUGCUCUAGUAUCGCCGUUCUGAAAAAUCCUUUCAUAAUGUAGUAGUCAUCAACUGGGAUAAGAUUGGACAAUUCUAAAUUCACAGAAAGGCUGUUUUUGACAUAAGAAGUAAAGUACAUAAUCACAAUUUCAGAAAAACAUGUUGGACAGCUUUGACAAAAUGUACAUGCAAUUGUCCAGUUGUUCAAAUACAAAACAGUUAGCAAAAAAUCUUAACUCACAGUCCAUGUUCCAGCUGUUUCAUGGGGCUUUAGAUCAUUAGUCUAAAUAGAAGUCUUUGAACUGUGUCAAACUAUUGUUGGUUUAAAAAGAACACACUAGACCUAUGUUUGCAUCAUACAUAGUUUAGAAGGAUCACAUCUAGUUUGCAACUGAAUUGGACAUUCAUUGAUGUAAAAUUCAGUGCCAGGAAGGAAUAAGUGCCUCAAGCAAGUAAAACGUAUGAAAUAAAUUAACAAAUUAAAUAUCUGCAGAAAUAGAUACUCAAGGAAUAGCUCAAUAACUGAUCAUGAAAGCUUAAUCUCAUGAACAUGCAUCAUAUUAUCAUCACUGUUUUAUUAAUAACCAAAUACAUCAGAUCAAUCAGUAGUUAUUAAAGCCCCCCCAAAAAGUUGAAUCAAACACUAUCUCUUAAUAUGCUGCAUGAUUGAUAUUAAGAUGUAUGACAUCAGUACUUUUGUGGAUUUCAACCCAUUUGUGAUUGAAAAUAUUGAUGCUGAACAUAAAACAUGAUGCACCUUUGCAAAUUUAUUGUUUUAGACCUAUUAUAUUUAACUUAUUUAUUAUUAAUUUAUCAUUAUGUUAAGGAUAAAUGUUAACUGAUUUAACUAUUCAUUAUUAUUUGGACAGGUGUGGAAAAAAACAGUUGAACUUGUAAAAUAUACAAUAUAUUUUGCCUUUUAGCGAAUAAUCAUAAUAAACUGUUUAAAAAGUGAACAGCAAUGGUACACGGAUCCUCCUCGAGUGGUAUCAGAUUCUGCUGCGAUUUUAAGCGUAAUAGUUCAAAGCCCAUUCCACCCAAUGACCAUCCUGGGCUCUUGUGUAACUUUAUUUAUGUUUCUUUUCAUGUUUUGUGAAUCACUUUGUCAA